CCAGAUUAUCAAAGCUGCUAUAAAUCUUGUGUCAACAUGUACAUUCAGGUGAGUAGCUCCUCCUGUUUUCUGAAUACGGGCACAUUUUUUCAUAGAAAACAAACACUGGGCGAAAGCACUGACUUGAAGUGCAGGCAUGUCCGUAUGUGCCUUGCUUGAUGAUUUUGCUGCAAAACUAAAAGGGAGACACCACUGGAUACUGUAAAGACAUGGCAAAGGGAGCAUAUGAGGAUACACAUCUCAGAAUCCCUUGGCAGAUCAGACGCAGUAGCAAGACCUCCAAAAAUGUCAGAAUAUCAGCAGCUUCAACUUUAGCUGACCACUCGCCAGUUAAAAAGGAACACAAGG